rnacentral:rRNA from 1 species
UGGGGAAUAUUGCACAAUGGGCGAAAGCCUGAUGCAGCAACGCCGCGUGAGUGAUGAAGGCCUUCGGGUCGUAAAGCUCUUUGAUCAGGGAUGAUAAUGACAGUACCUGAAAAACAAGCCACGGCUAACUACGUGCCAGCAGCCGCGGUAAUACGUAGGUGGCGAGCGUUGUCCGGAAUUACUGGGCGUAAAGGAUGCGUAGGUGGAUAUUUAAGUGGGAUGUGAAAUCCCCGGGCUCAACCCGGGAACUGCAUUCCAAACUGGGUAUCUAGAGUGCAGGAGAGGAAAGCGGAAUUCCUAGUGUAGCGGUGAAAUGCUUAGAUAUUAGGAGGAACACCAGUGGCGAAGGCGGCUUUCUGAACUGUAACUGACACUGAGGCAUGAAAGCGUGGGUAGCAAACA